rnacentral:sRNA from 1 species
GUUGAGGGACAUACGUCGUUUCUGGAAGGAAGUUUGAACAACUCUCUCCUCCUCCUUCUUCUUACUGAUGUGUCGUGUUAAACACGCGUGAAAAGUCGUCUUGAUAAGAAGUCCAGCAGUUCUUCAAGGACCAACGCAGAAAAACCGGUUGUUUGAAAGGUUUUCCCAUCAGCCCCAGUAAUGACGCUCCACCUCGCAUCCCCCUUCAUUCUCCUAUUCACGAUAGCUUAUUCCCUCACUUCCGCCGUCCAAGGACUCGAACCUCUGCCCCCAGCGUCUCUGUCGGACUCUCCGGCCAGCGGGGCUGACGUGCCCCCUCUCCCCUCAUCUGCAGCGACGAACGCCGCCGUGGACAAAGAAUGGCUGCGUCAGAAGCUGGAAGAAGGACAAUUUCUACCACAACAGGACAAACGAUGGGGAGGUAUCAAUUCUUGGAUGACGCACCGUCUCGGCGGACCCUCCGAGAGCGAUUCGAGCCAGGACUCUCUGGAUAAACAACUGCUCGUGAACAACGUCCAGAACUACGAUGACUCGAGUAAGAGGAAGUGGUCGAAAUUCUCGUCUUGGGGGAAGCGCGACGCUUCGGAGGAAACGCCUGAAGGUGGUGAGGGUGAAGACGGACUCGGCGCUGUAAAGAAGUGGAAGAAUAUGGCGGUGUGGGGGAAACGGGCAGAAGAUGGUUUAGACAAGAGAUGGAAGCAGAUGGCCACUUGGGGCAAGAGAGAAGACGGUGAUGUUUUAGGGUUGGGGACGGACAAGAGAUGGAAACAAAUGGCCUCGUGGGGUAAACGAUUAGAUGAUUCUGACCGAGAUAAGAAAUGGAAACAAAUGUCUGUUUGGGGAAAGAGGGAGGAUAACGGGGAACCACUGGACAAAAAGUGGAAACAAAUGAGUGUGUGGGGGAAGAGAGAUACUUUAGAUGACCCGGAGAAAAGAUGGAAGCAGAUGGCAGUCUGGGGCAAAAGGCAAGGUUUAGAUGACAGAAACGAUAAAAGAUGGAAGCAGAUGGCGACUUGGGGCAAAAGAAACUCCUCAGAAAACUAUGAUAAGAGGUGGAAACAAAUGUCUGUCUGGGGCAAGAGAGAUGGGGAUGGUGACUUAGAUAAGCGGUGGAAGCAGAUGUCCGUUUGGGGGAAGAGGAAUGGGGAUGGCGACUUAGAUAAACGGUGGAAACAAAUGUCAGUUUGGGGGAAACGGGAUGGGGAUGAAGAUGUUGAAAAGAGAUGGAAACAAAUGUCCGUUUGGGGGAAGAGGGAUGGAGAUGCUGACUUAGAUAAGCGGUGGAAACAAAUGUCUGUUUGGGGAAAGAGAGACGAAGAUGGCAACCUAGAUAAACGGUGGAAACAAAUGUCCGUUUGGGGGAAGAGAGAUGAGGAUGGUAACUUAGAUAAACGGUGGAAACAGAUGUCCGUUUGGGGAAAGAGGGAUGGAGAUGGCAACUUAGAUAAACGGUGGAAGCAAAUGUCCGUUUGGGGGAGAGAGA